rnacentral:rRNA from 1 species
AUGGCUGGCCAGUUCGCCAAGCCGAGGUCCGGUAACUUUGAAGAGAAGGAUGGGGUUAAGCUGCCCAGUUACAGGAGAAACAACAUCAAGGGCGACGCGUUUGAUCUGAAGGGCCGCGUCUGUCCCAGAAGGAUGAUCAGGACGUACGCGUAGUCGGUGGCGACGCUCAGCUUGCUGCGUGCUAUCGCGACGGGAGGUUACAUAACUAUGAGGCGGGUCAUCCAGUGGAACCUUGAUUUCAUGGAUCACAAUGAGUAGGGAGACAUGUGA